CUCUCUCUCUCUCUCUCUCUCUCUCUCCUUCUUAGCAUCUGAACAUGAAUCAACCAUAGAUUUCUACUAAAUCAACAAGCAAAUUUCGUUUUUGGUGAAGAUCAAGUUGCUACUCUCUUUUGUGGUAAGUUUCUAAACUCGUUUUUACACUAGACAUCUAUUAGUAUUUUCUAUAACUCUUUUUGUACAGAGCUCCGAUUUAAGUGAGCCAGGACUUUCUGGAAAGGUACUUCAUAAAUCUAUAACUCUUAUGAAGGAACCAAAAUCUAGCUUUGUUGGUAUUUACCUGAAAAAGGAUCAGAAAAUACAGGGCAAGUGUUGCCCAGAUUUCCAGUUUUAGAAAUACUCCAUGUACUACUGUUAGUAAUUUUAGUAUACCUUUCUGUACAAAAUUGAUAUGGGGGUGAUUCAAGAUGUUCUGAAACGCUAAGACAUAGAUCUACAACUAUUAUGAAGACUAUACAGUCUAGUUCUUCUGUAUAGAUCUUCCAAACUGAGUCACAACACGAAACAGUGAUACUGUCCAGAAUUUAUGUUUCAAACAUUUUUGGGUAAUUAUUUCCAAACUGAGUCACAACACGAAACAGUGAUACUGUCCAGAAUUUAUGUUUCAAACAUUUUUGGGUAAUUAUCACCAAUAUCAUGUUUAGUUUGACAUGUUAAAUCACUGAACUUAUUUAGAUAUUUCAUUAUGUAUUUAAGGUAUAUAAACCCUUGAAAAAUCAGAGGGGAAGUGUUUGAGGAAGUGGACAGAUUUGGUUUGUUUAUGGCGUAGACGAUUCAAACGUCUCAAGUUGUGAUUGAACUGUUUUGUGGUAACACACCAAGGUUUGUGUAUAAACUUGUACUCUUUUUUCUUGCUGGAAUAUUUUGAAAUAACCUGAUAUUUUAUUUUUCUUGUCUUUAAUUUAUAUUGUUAUAUUCGUAUUAUAUCAAGUAUUGUAAGAUAUUUGCUAAAUCGCUCAUUCGUACGGAUUGUUUGAUCAUUUUGCAUUCUUGUUGGGAUUUUGUCCUUCUUGUGGCAGUGACUUUGUCACUCAUCUUGGCAUGCCUCUUGAUUCGGAUCUUUUGCCAUUUUGACUUUGGAUUUGUAGUUCGUCUUGAAUUAUGGAACUUGUCCGUGUUAAGUACGAACUAAGAAGCCAUUUUUAAUAUGGUUCUUGAUUCUCUUGUCUAUUGGGGUUUGACCCUACUUGAUUUGGGGCUUCGGUCCAUCUUGAUAUCUAAUUAUGCUUAGUGUGAUGGCAUGACGUACAUAUUGGGCGAAAAAUGGAUAUUUGGUAUACUCUCUUAGAUUGAUAGUAUACACUUUCUCGACUCUUGAACAUUGUUAUUGAUAUUUGGAAACACUUCAAAGUUUGAUAUUGAUAUGUUUGAUAUAUUUGUUCACUUAUUUUAAAUUAUGUUAAAUUGAGCUAACUAUGACUAAAAAGGGGAAUUGAAGAAUUUAAUGACUCAAAGCCUAAAGUGUAUACACCAUUAAGCUUUAUGCUUAGCGAUAGUUGUUUCCUAUCGUAGGUAAUGUUCGGGAUGAAAUCUGAAGAUGGCCAUGAUGAAGUACUCUAUUUGGGAGAACUUACGGAGAUCACAUUUGCAUAUGCACCUUGAUUUUGCAUAGUUUUGGGACGUGUAAUUUGGUAACUUGUUUUGUUGUUUUAGUGUGGGUUAAUAACUCAAGUCUUGUA
rnacentral:lncRNA from 1 species